UGAGUAAAGUAAUAUAGAUACAUGAACCAUCAUUUACGACUCCUACUGAUUCCAUAAUACGAAUAUAUAGGGUAAAUCUAGCCAUAAAAUGAUACAAACAAAUAGUGUACAACAUCCAUCAUCAUAAAAUGUCAUAUAGAUUCAAGUGAAAUGUGUUACGCAUUAAGAAUUAUAAAUGAAAAGGAUUAUGAAGUAUAGAAGUGAGUAGGUAAAAAAAUUAAAUUUCCAACAAACUGAACUAAUCACUUUGGCACCUCUCUCUCUCUUCGGUGAGUAUGUCCCUUCAUAAAUACAAAAUUGUAUGGAAUAUUUUGUUUGUUUUUUGUUUUUUCUCGUAAAAGGAUCUUUCAUUACCCAAAAAAAGACCUGCUGUCACUCUGGUGAUCUUUCUUGUUCGCAAUGAACCCGACACAGUUUCCAUUGUUUGAUGCCAUGAUGCAUUGUUUAUCUUUGAAGUGUCUUUUUCGUAUACUCUUUUCAUACACAUAUCUAAACAAUAUGCUGUACAUAUUAGGAAAUCAAUUGUUUGACAGUUGAGGCAGUAAAAUGAUUUUUACUUUAGCUUGAUGAUCUAGGGUUUAUGGUAUGGUUUCAUUUUUCCUUUUUUAGUAACAUACAUAAUUAUCAUUAAGGCAUAACAUCACCAACAACAAUAUAAAUUUGAAAAAUACUUGAAGGGAAAAUAAUGAAAUGAGAAUUACUAUCGGUAUUAUUGUUUUUUGUUUUGUUAUUUUCUCUAUCUUUGCGUUGUUCUACUCUAAAUACUAAUUUUCAUUUUCAUAGUAUUAUUUUACUGUUUUAAUUUUAGCAACACAGAAUAUUGACAAUCGAGCAAAACAAAUUUACUCUCCCUCUCUCUCUCUCUGUCUGACAGUGUCAAUAUCUUAUCUUUUGUCAUUGAAAAAACAGUUGGUGGUGAAUGACGAUUUAUCUCUUAUAUUGUUUGUUUCGCUAUUUGUUUUAUUGAAUUGCCAUAGUUUAUUCAUUCAUUCAUUAAAAAGUAGAACAAUACAAUACAAUAAUAUAAAGAUGGUUGUUUAGGUCUGACACUUCCUUUAACCCCACCAAAAGUCGCUUUGACAGUUGUUGGUUGAUCGUGGUGAAUAUCGAUGCAAUACGUUUUCAUAUAAUAUUAUUUUUGUUUAACCAAUGAGGUAUGUUAAUGACAGAUAAAAAAAAAAUUAGAAUACAAGCAGAUAAAAACAAAGUUCAGAGACGAAACAUGAGCAUGAUAAACUUUUCAUGUUGUUAUUUUGUUGUUGUUCUUCAUUCAAAUACUGUGAGUUUUUAUUUUAUUAUUUGUGUAUACAAAACAGGAAAUCGAAAAGCGAUAAAAAUAAAUAUGAACUAAUAGAGGAAUAUACACAGGUCUACAUAUGUUUGCAAGAGUACGUUGAUUUGAGAGCACAAUACCUCAACCUAAUAUAAGAAAUAUACAAAUAUUUAAAACGAAGGUGGUAAACUGUAGAUAUGAAUUCAAUGUGGUGAUUUUAUUUAAG